GCGGCCCCCGCGGAGGGCCCGCCGCGGCAGCGGCGAUACGGCCCGUGAGCGA
rnacentral:rRNA from 1 species